rnacentral:rRNA from 1 species
UACGUAGGGUGCGAGCGUUGUCCGGAAUUAUUGGGCGUAAAGGGCUCGUAGGCGGUUUGUCGCGUCGGGAGUGAAAACUCAGGGCUUAACCCUGAGCCUGCUUCCGAUACGGGCAGACUAGAGGUAUGCAGGGGAGAAUGGAAUUCCUGGUGUAGCGGUGAAAUGCGCAGAUAUCAGGAGGAACACCGGUGGCGAAGGCGGUUCUCUGGGCAUUACCUGACGUGAGGAGCGAAAGUGUGGGGAGCGAACAGG